GAAUAUACUAAGUUUUUUGUUAUUGGUCUUGUCAUAUAUGAAUUUUUUAUUUAAAUCUUUUGAUGAUUUUUGGGAAAUAAUUUUACCUAUCAGGGUUGUUGAGCAAGUAGCUUUGCGCUUGAGAUGGAUCUAACAUUUAAAGUUUAUGAAUUUGAUUUUUAAAAUUUUUAUUAUUGAUUUUAUUAUAUUUUUGAAAUUAUGAAUUUAUGUUUUGUUUUGAAAUAUUCAAUUCAGAUGUAUUUGAUAUAAUAAUGCUCUCCUAUGAGGAAAUCUCUUCAUCUUCUUCUUUGCUUGAUUUUUUUUUGUUGAAGGGUGAUUUACCCUUCAAAGUUGUUCAAAUAGUUAUCUACACGAGGUAGAUUUAAAAUUUGAAGUUUAUAAGUUUAAGGAGGUGUUGACCAUGAACAUUAAAAAUUUUUGGAGUUUGAAGUUGUAGUUUGGAGUUGUGUUUGAUCAUGAAUAUAAAUCAAAGUUUUUUUUUUUUUUUUUUUUUUGUGAGAGAUGAAAGUGAGAUUCAAAUACAAUUCAAAAUUGUACUUGAAAUUUUUAUGGCCAAACACUGUAAUUUUCACUAAAUUUACACUAAAAUGAAAUAAUUUUUUAUGAAAAAGUAAAAAGUUUUCAUGACCAAACACCUCCUAAUUUUAAGAGUUUUAGUAUUGAAUUCUUAUUUUCUUCAUUUAAAAAAGAAUGACGUACUUUGACUUGAUAUAAAGUGUAAGAAUUUUUUUUUUAAUCUUAUGUUUUUAAAUUAAAGUCUUGUCAAAUAUAUCAAAAUACUUUUUAAUUUUGUGAUUCUGAAUAUGUUAUGUGGAAAGUUGAAAUUAAAGUAUUGCAAAAAAAAAAAAAUAGUCAUUUUUUUGAAAUGAAUUAAAAAGGAAAGUAGAUCAUUUUUUUGAAAUGGGAAAUAUAUUUUUAAAAUUAUAAAUUAAUGUUUUGUAUUAAAAGUUCUGGGUUUAGAUAAACUCGAUACAAUAAGGUUAUCUCAUUUAAGGAUUUCUCAUCUUCUUCUUUACUUUCUUAAUUGUUUUUGUUGAUGUUUGAAAGGUAGUUUUAUUUAUGAUGGUUGAGCAAAUAGCUUUGUGCUAGAUGUGGGGAUCUAAGAUUUAAAGUAUAUAAUGUCAAAGAAGUAUGAUUUGCCUUUCAAGGCUAGGCAAUUUGCUGAAGCACUAUCUUUCGAGAAUGGAUUUCGUGGUGCAUGGUUUCGAUGCAAGAUACAUAAGAUUAGCUUCAGAAGAGGACAUUGGAAUGCGCUGUUGGAAUUCUUUGAUUAUCCCGAUGAAAAACUGACUUGGACCAAGCUGUAUCAGUAUCCCCCAUAUAAUGUUGGAAAGUCGAAGGAGAAAAUGCAACUAAUGCUGCGGCCGCAGUAUCCGUCAGUCAAGCUCAAAAUUGAAAUUUCAGAUAUCAGUUCAGUUUCUGAAGCUACGGUAGUUUCUGAUGGUAAUUGGCAGGCAGGUGAUUUGGUUGAUUGGUGGGCUAAUGGCUGUUAUUGGUCUGGACGUCUGAUAAAGUUACUCGGCAGCAAUGAAGCUGAGUUGGCACUGACACCACCUCCUGUGGGUGAAGGUGCAAGUUAUGAAAUUUCUUUCAAGGAUUUGCGCCCAUCGUUAGACUGGUCUCCGGAUUUUGGUUGGAAUUUGCCUACAUCCCAGGAUGGUGAUGGUGUACGUCAAUGUGCUCGACUAAUUCAACCUGUCAACCUAGCGUUCGGUCGCUUUCCAGCUGUGGAAAUACAUUCUAUGAGUGAUGGGAGAACGGGAUCUUCAUCAGAUCUCUCUUUCGCUACUCAUUCAUCUGCAAGCUUGUCACCAGUCUCAGAUAAAAAGACGGAUUUUAAAACUACAGAGUUAGCGGAGCGACCCCCGAUCAGCGAUCUUCCAAAGAAGAGUCGAUCUUGUUCUCAUACGGGUGAUGAAUCGGCUAAGGAAUCCAGUUCGUCAGAUAAAGAUGCUAGUUCCUGUAUUGGAGUCGAUCCAGCAAAAGCUUCCGCUGAGCCAACUGAUAACUUCAACUAUUCAAGUUGUCCUUUCAAGAAGUGCAGAACCAGCGAUCAGAAUCAGUUACAUUCGAUGGGUUCCGACACAACGGAGGCAGCAAUUAUGGAUUUGGAGGAACUCGUGAGUAAAAUUAAAUGGCUGAAAGGGCUGCUCGAGUUUGGGAGACCCCCCGUUGCUAAGCGUACAUGGAAGUUCGUUGAGCAUCAUACAUCUUCCGGAAAUGAAUGAUUGGACGGUUUCAAAACAUCAGAGUUGUCAUUCCAUAGCUCUCGAGAAAUUUUGAGGUGAAUGGAACCGAUGAGGGGAUGAGGGCUUUCACGCCCUGCUGCUGCAAGGCCUAGUGUGAUACCAGCAAAGCGAAAGGUGAUAAUCCGGCUUCCCUCAGGUAUGACUUAGGGAUGCUCCGAUGAGCAUUUCCGAGUGUUGAUGGAUCGAUGACAUUGCAUAAAGUGUACAAGUUCAACUGACGAAAUCGCUUUUUGUAACAUUUUCCAUUUUUUUUCUGUCUAUGUUCUUGCUCGUGCCCGGAUCCGGAUAGAGAAUGGGCACGGCUCCCCCUCUCCCUUCCCUGUUCUACCGACCAAAUAGGCCGGCCGUUCUAUUGAUGGAUCGGAUUACAUGCAUCGACCAAAGUGUACAUGUUCAACUGGCUCAACCGCAUUUUGUAACAUUUUCGAUUUUCUUUUAUGUUCCUGCUCGUGCCAGGAUAGAGAAUGGGCACGACUCCCCCUCUCCCUGUUCUACCCGUCCAAAUAGGCCGGCCGUUCUUAUAGCCAAUGUUUAGUUCACCUGAACUAGAAGCUUUGUAUAGAGAUGUGAAAAAUGGGAGCAAUUCAAAUUUUGACAUUGUUAAUUCUUCAAGAAAUUUUAACCUUUUUAAAAUUUA